GACUCUCAGCAACGGAUAUCUCGCCUCUCGCAUCGAUGAAGAAGGUAGCAAAACGCGAUACUUGGUGUGAAUUGCAGAAUCCCGUGAACCGUCGAGUCUUUGAACGCAAGUUGCGCCCUAGCCCUCUGGCCGAGGGAACGUCUGCCUGGGUGUCA
rnacentral:rRNA from 2 species